rnacentral:rRNA from 1 species
UACGAAGGGGGCUAGCGUUGUUCGGAAUUACUGGGCGUAAAGCGCGCGCAGGCGGUUUUUCAAGUCAGUGGUGAAAGCCCGGAGCUCAACUCCGGAAAUGCCAUUGAAACUGCAAAACUUGAGGACGAGAGAGGUGAGUGGAAUUCCCAGUGUAGAGGUGAAAUUCGUAGAUAUUGGGAAGAACACCGGUGGCGAAGGCGGCGACCUGGUCCGAUACUGACGCUGAGGCGCGAAAGCGUGGGGAGCAAACAGG